GCUGGCUUAAUGAUUAAGUGGUCGAUUGCUAACCGAAAGGUUGGUGGUUCAAACCCACCCAGCA
rnacentral:tRNA from 1 species